UUUCUCGUCAAGUCAAUGUCCAUGGCACGGAUUGCUGACGCGCAAAGCGCUGUUUUGAAAAGAUGAGCAUUCUUGAGUAGAUUUUUCUCAGGACGUCAAAGGUCAUAUUUGAAGCCCAAGGGGGAUAUUGGGAACACACUUCUCCUUGUCACUUUUUCAUAGCUUCGUGGACUUUCUGUAAGCCUUGCCAUAUCUGAGACAAUGACAUGAGUUGAUGUUCCGUUUCUUUUGAAGCACCCUGUUCAACGGCCGGAAGGUAAAUUGCGUGCUCAAUAUUUCGGCCAAACGACUGGGGACAUUCGACGAGGUUUCCUGUUUAAUCUAGAUGCAACUAACUAGGCCAUUGUCCAGUCAAUCAAGUUUGCAUCAUUGCAAGUAUAUGUACUAAGUUAUGUCACAUAUUUCAUUCAAAAUUAUCAUAGUGUCACAACAUUAUCAUCGCUUAUGGUCAUCAGCACAAUUAUAUCCCAUCAUGAGAAGCGAAAUCAUGAAGAAACAUUGCCAAAGCAACCGAAAAGGAAGUAGGGAAAGUGAAACCGAUGCUACUUUCAAUGAUUACCUUUUUGUCCUUUUGCUAUGUCUUUAGUACCUCAGUUAGGCUCUAAGUGACAGUUAAGACAGAUUUUGUUCAGUACUUAGAUCCUGUUAGUCGCAAUGGAUGGGAGCCUCAAGCUACACAAAAAUGGCUUAUCUUUUGCCCGGCGAGGUACAAUUUCCUAGUUUUCGUGAGCUAGCCUUUUGCAAAUGUACCGCCGAUUACGUAGGCUGAUUCUUCCAAGUUAGUUUCUAAUGCACACAUGGUGAUGUCAGAAACAAGUCGUACACUUUCAAAAUAUUUUGCAUGGUUAGUGUCCUGAUUGGGGUCGUUUUCUCGAAUGUGAUGGUUGUUUGUCGAUGGCACAGGUGUGAUGAAGAGGCUUGGGAUGGGACAAGAACCAAAUGAUUCUUUGUGUCAUUUGCGUAUGCAUGAUGAUACGAGUGGCAAUGCAAGCACUAUUAAACAAAUGACGCCCGCAGUUGGAAUGGACGCCCGCAGUUGGAAUGGACUACGACAGUUAUCUUGAACCAAAUUGCUCUACAACACAUGAUACAACCAUAAUUGGUUAGUUGUUGUGGCCCAGGGGGGCCUGAAAGUGAAAAUUUCUCCUCAUAUUAGAAACAUUCCCACGGCGAAUGAACCGAUUGCUUCAUACACCGCCUCUCAGAGUCAUGUAUGUCAGCUCAAUAGGAAACUUCAAACGGUCGCAAUUUUACCCUUCAGUAAGCAAUAUAUCUGUCUCAAUAGGGCCACGGAGGUCAUGCUUCAUGGGUUCAGGUGGAAGAGUAUGAUUCGACUUUCAGAGGUCAAUCAAACGAUAUGCAUGAAUUUAAGACGGCAUCGCCUUGGCACUUCAUAUUCCAACGUUCCAUUUGCCAUCAUGCUUACUCACAUCUACUACUCUCAACAUGACGGGGAUGAUGACACUUUUUCUCCCAUAAACCCCAUUCAAUCCCUCGGAAAUAAAUUCAUGGUCUACAUGA